UCAUACAUCAAUGAGAUAGUUUGAAGUGAUUCAGAGAAAAGUGCGUCCAUUCCCUGGAGGUCCCAUGAGAAGUAGUGUGACAAGCUUCUAGAACAAAGACUUUUAUAGAACAUUGUUCACACACAUCAGAGUUCUAUUCAAAUUUAAGGCCCACUCCUGCACCAGUGGAGUCAGUAAGAGCAGGAUUGGGUCCUAAUUAGAAACCAGUACAACAACUUUUUAUUUCCUUAGGGCUAGAUGGUGGAAUUAAGCCACAGCCUAGAAUAAGGGGUGGCAUGUAACUCUGCCAGUCCUGGGCACCUCUCUGGAUGCAGCAUUAAGAUUCUGGAUUCAAAUCUCACUAUUGGCCCAGAUGAGGAUGGUAGAACACACAAUGCUACUGAUUAGGUGCUAUAGUGGCAAGUUGCUCUAUAUGUGGUACUCACUGCAGAUGAAGAGGAGAUAAACAGAGGACAAAUUUCCUUAAUGCUCUGGAACUUGCUGUCCAGGAGUGGAUAGGUCACAAUGAACUCACAGAAACGCUGAUAAUCAUCAAGUUUUUUUCUGACAGCUGGAACUUUUUGAAGGA